rnacentral:rRNA from 1 species
UCAAGUUAUUAAGAGCAUAGGGCGAAUGCCUUGGCACCAAGAGCCGACGAAGGACGGGAUAAGCACCGAAAUGCUACGGGGAGUCGCAAAUAGACAUCGAUCCGUAGAUAUCCGAAUGGGGGAACCCACUUGAGCAACCCUCAAGUACUCAUAACCCAAUAAAAUAAGUUAUGAGAGGUAUACCAGGGGAACUGAAACAUCUAAGUACCCUGAGGAAGAGAAAGAAACAUCGAUUUCCAAAGUAGCGGCGAGCGAAAUGGAAAGAGCCCAAACCUGAUUUAUCAGGGGUUGAGGACACAGCAAAGGACUGUAUCAUUCAUAGCCGAAGAAAGCUGGGAAGCUUUGCGAAACAAGGUGAUAGCCCUGUAGGCGAAAUGAAAGAUACACAGGCUGUGCUCCAGAGUACCACGGGACACGUGAAAUCCUGUGGGAAGCAGGGAGGCCCACCUCCCAAGGCUAAAUACUACUUGGUGACCGAUAGUGAACAGUACCGUGAGGGAAAGGCGAAAAGAACCCCGGGAGGGGAGUGAAAUAGAACCUGAAACCCUAUGCUUACAAGCAGUGGAAGCACGUUAAAAGUGUGACCGCGUACUUUUUGUAGAACGGGCCAGCGAGUUAUGAUAUGCAGCGAGGUUAAGUAAUUAAGUUACGGAGCCGCAGGGAAACCGAGUCUUAACAGGGCGAAAAUAGUUGCAUGUCAUAGACCCGAAACCGGGUGACCUAUCCAUGGGCAGAGUGAAGUUUUAGUAAAAUAAAAUGGAGGCUCGAACCCGGUAGCGUUUAAAAGCUAUGGGAUGACCUGUGGAUAGGGGUGAAAAGCCAAUCGAACUCGGAGAUAGCUGGUUCUCCUCGAAAUAGCUUUAGGGCUAGCCUCAAGAGAGCAUGAGAUGGAGGUAGAGCACUGAAUGGUCUAGGGGCACAUAGUGUUACCAAAACCUAUCAAACUCCGAAUGCCAUCCUCAUAAGCUUGGGAGUCAGACUGUGGGGGAUAAGCUUCAUAGUCAAAAGGGAAAGAGCCCAGAUCACCAGCUAAGGUCCCAAAAUUCUGAUUAAGUGGUAAAGGAUGUGAGGUUUCACAGACAACCAGGAUGUUGGCUUAGAAGCAGCCAUACAUUUAAAGAGUGCGUAAUAGCUCACUGGUCGAGAGACCUUGCGCCGAAGAUUUCCGGGGCUAAAAUCAGAUACCGAAGCUGUGGGAUUACGUAGUAAUCGGUAGAGGAGCAUUGUGUAAGGGACGAAGGUGUACCGAAAGGAGCGCUGGACAUUACACAAGAGAGAAUGCUGGCAUAAGUAGCGAAAGGUGAGUGAGAAUCUCACCCGUCGAAAACCUAAGGUUUCCUGAGGAAGGCUCGUCCACUCAGGGUAAGUCGGGACCUAAGCCAAGGCUGAAAAGCGUAGGUGAUGGACAACAGGUUAUAAUUCCUGUACUGGAGGUAUUCGUUAACAGAGAAGUGGGGACGCAGGAGGAUAUGCAGAGCGUGCGGUUGGAAGAGCACGUCUAAGCACGUAGGGAGAGAAGACAGGCAAAUCCGUUUUCUUAAAAUCCUGAGGUGUGAUGGGGAUCGAAAAACAAGUAGAGAAGCUGUAGACUCCACACUGCCAAGAAAAGCCACUAUCGAGAAUAUUUUCACCCGUACCGCAAACCGACACAGGUAGGUGAGGAGAGAAUCCUAAGACGAGCGGAAGAACCUUUGUUAAGGAACUCGGCAAAAUAGCCCCGUAACUUCGGGAGAAGGGGUGCCAUUUGGAGUGGAUAUCAUACGAUAUAUAAGCUUCGGGUGGCCGCAGUGAAAAGGCCCAAGCGACUGUUUACCAAAAACACAACUCUCUGCUAAGUCGAAAGACGAAGUAUAGGGGGUGACACCUGCCCGGUGCUGGAAGGUUAAGGGGAAUGCUUAGAGGGAAACCUCGAAGGUGUGAACUUAAGCCCCAGUAAACGGCGGCCGUAACUAUAACGGUCCUAAGGUAGCGAAAUUCCUUGUCGGGUAAGUUCCGACCCGCACGAAAGGUGUAACGAUUUGGGCACUGUCUCAACAAAGGAUCCGGUGAAAUUGUAGUACUCGUGAAGAUGCGAGUUACCCGCGACAGGACGGAAAGACCCCGUGGAGCUUUACUGCAGGCUGACAUUGGAUUUUGGCAUUGCAUGUACAGGAUAGGUGGGAGGCAUAGAAGCAAGUGCGCCAGUAUUUGUGGAGCCGCCCUUGGGAUACCACUCUUGUGAUGCUGAAAUUCUAACCUGGCACCGUGAAUCCGGUGUGGGGACACUGUCAGUUGGGCAGUUUGACUGGGGCGGUCGCCUCCUAAAAAGUAACGGAGGCGCUCAAAGG